AGGGAGACAAGUGCAAAGACUUAAGAACACCCCAUUGUUUGGGCGUCUGUAACAUAAGUCAAACACCUUACAAAGGGAGGACAUAUUGCACAAUAACCUAUAGCAAAACAGUGUAAGACAACAUUCAAACGUUUGGUAAAACUAAACCAGAUUCUGAGGCCGAACAAAAGACACUUUCCAUAAGAUAUUGCCUAAAUUCAGUGCUGGGACAGGUAGCUACUUCCAGACAGGAGGCGCAAACGCACCACCAGGCAGACGGGAAAGGUUACUACGGGAAAUGCCCAUGUAGCGUCACCAACUUGCGUGAAGCAGCAUUGGAGUUGUAGUUUUCUAAUAGCCACCAUUGCUACUGUAAACACCCGGAACUUUAAAUUGGAUAAACAAACAGCUGGUGUCUAUCUGCAACGUAAAACAACAGGGAACGCCAUUUGCCCGAGCUACCUCAAAAGUGUAUCCUACAUCCUCAUCAGCAGGUCACCACCCUGUGUGUUCUCCAUCCCUCCUCAUCUGGCAUUCAGGCAUGCUACAAUGACCCAGUGAUGCUGUGUGACAGGCCAGGCAGGGCACUGGCUGUUUGUGUCAAUCCAGAUCAAUCACUCCCUCUUCUGGACGGACAACGUCAUCAACAGGAAGAAAGGUCACAGGGUGUAUUCAAGCCAGGCCUGAUGUUGUGAGCAGGGAGGUCAGCGGAGCAAGUGAACACCCUUGACUGACUGAGCUUUAUCUUGAAUGGACACAGCUGGCAUUUGAGUAAAAAAAAUAAAAAUGUAUUUGAUUGUUAGAAGAAGUAAUUUCUUCCACCUUGAAAUAUAUUUUUUUGAAUCUCCUGUGACUGGGCGUAUACAAAAAGCGUUAAGACUGUUUGUCGUAUUGAUUGAUAUUCCAGUGGGCAUGAUAAGCCCUCAGUUGCCCCACAUCUGACAGGGUCCCUAUUCUCUAAUGAUACGUGUAAAUAUGGCCCACCGCUUACACUUCUAUAAGAGAGCAGGAAGAAACAACACAAUAGCUAAAAUACAACCCAUUUGAGGAAAAAACAACAAGAAACAGCACUUAACAGCCCAGAAUGCACUGCACCCGAGGGAACCACCUCAAUUACU